ACGUAGGGUGCAAGCGUUAAUCGGAAUUACUGGGCGUAAAGCGUGCGCAGGCGGUUAUGCAAGACAGAGGUGAAAUCCCCGGGCUCAACCUGGGAACUGCCUUUGUGACUGCAUGGCUAGAGUGCGGCAGAGGGGGAUGGAAUUCCGCGUGUAGCAGUGAAAUGCGUAGAUAUCAGGAGGAACACCGAUGGCGAAGGCAGGUCUCUGGGCUGACACUGACGCUCA
rnacentral:rRNA from 1 species